CUCUGGAGCUUGGGAAUUUAACCAGCCUAGACAAAAUGCUUCUUUCCUCAAACAAUUUUACUGGGAAGUUGCCCGAAACAUUUGCAAGGCUUACCACAUUAACGGACUCUCGGGUUGAUGACAAUCACUUUUCUGGGAAGAUACCUGAUUUC